UGAGCUCUUGUGUAAUUGACAGCCCUGCUCAGACAAAGGAGGACUACUGGACAUCAGUUUGACUGACACCAGCCUUCUCCAGCACUACUACAAUCAAUAACCAUUAACAGAAGUCUACUGGACUUGUGGAUUUACUGCUAUUAAUAAGCCGUGUCUAUCUGGGUGUAGUUUAUGAAGGAACUUUUAGGUCUGUAACUAAAAGGAACUGCUUUUCUGUAGUUUUGUAGCCUUAUCCCUGGGCUUGGAGAGAACCACAACUCUUAGAGCCAGAAGGGAGAAACAACAGAGGGAAACUUCUCUUCAGAGCUGGUGAACGGUGAUGCGGUUUGUGCAUGGCUUCAGAGGUAGCUGCCUUGCUUCCCUGUGGUUUCUAAGCCACCGUCCUGCAUGCACAAGAGAGGAGCAGAACCUGAGCUGUGUGGGAACACCAGCUGCUCAGUCUGGUGUCUCUGGCCCUUCUGCCUGGGGAUCUGGAGCUAUUGGUCAGGCAUCACACUGCGACCCAGUGAACUCACCCCAUCCGUAUAGCUGGAACAUCUGUCAGGGAUGAACACGGGCUCUCCACAGGCUGCUGUGCCAAAUUCCUGAGAAAUAAACCCUCUCAAUCAGGGUGCUGUUGUUGACAGUGCACUUACGGAGGAUGUGAGUGUCAGCUCCAUCCUAGCAGAGUUAAACCCUGCAGGAUCCCUGCCCUGCUGGUGUCCCCAUUUUGUUGAUAAACGAACAGAGAAAGCCUUAUCAAAAUGAACAGAAUGCAGCCCUGCUAAUGUAGCUCCACUUGUGCUGAAGAUAAUUGAUGCUUUAAUAACGCUACACAUUAUCCAGGUUGUGGUUGGAGUGUACAUGUGAGGAGAGGCAUCAAUCACAGGUAGUUGUAUUCAACUUUUAUCAGUGUUCAGGUGGGUGGCAAAGUGUGUUCUGUGCUGCUCUGGGGGAAGGAGCGUUGGGCUCUGAGAUAGCAAGUGAAUGAAUCAUCACCUGCCUUUCGCCUGUAUCAAUUUCCUGCAGAUUGGGAGAGGGAGGAUUUACGUUUGCAAUUAUUUUCAAUUUAACUUUCAAUUAUUGCAGCAGGACACAGGAGAUGCCAUGUGCUGCUGUGCUGGAAACAGACUUGAUGAUGAAAACUGCAGCUCCCACCUGGAAGGCCUUCGGUCUCAUGAUCUAGAAGAGAUGGAGAGCCAGGUCUCUACCUGUUGAUGCAGUACGUGACCCAACUGCCAGCCCUGUGGGGUUGUGGGCAGGCCAUGGGGAUGGCUGCUGAUUAUGCACCAUAGAGCCUUAUGGAGUGGCUUCCAUUAGCUGUGUUUGGCUGUAUCCAAGGGCCAGUGUAUAUUGAUGUUGUGUUUGAUGUAUUAAUGAUAUCUGACAUUUCCAUGGGGUGGCUCCAAGCCUCACUGAAGCCAACAGGAGCUGGAGUGGAUCUGCAGACAGAUCCCCUGCUGGUGCAUCCUCUCCCAGGCCUGGUGUCCUGCACUUGGUGCAUCACGUGUGAAGCAGUAGUGGGCAGCUUUGAGAACGGUGCUCUCCUGUGGAGCUUUUCCUUGUUAAGAUGAUUCCUGAAGCAUCCUGCCUGGCAAAAAUGCUUCCUCUGGCCUGUGUCUGGCUGAAGGCUUGAUUUCUCAAAGAUAUUUAGUAAAUGAGCUCCUGUGUUCUUUGAGGAGGUAAGUAUAAAUAUUGAUAAGAGCUUUCAUUCUCUUGCAGCAUGCCCACAGAUUUAUGGCUUGAUUUUAAGUAAAACUCUUUAUUUCAUGCUUUUGAAAUAAAUGUUGCAUUUUCAUACAGCAGGGAUCGUUUGCCCAGCAAAAAUCCUCUCCAAUUUCUGUGCCAAAGAGUGGGAGGCUGCAGCUCCAGGUCCCCCUUCUUGGGGGUGCUGCUGUCAUUGGUAACUUAUGCCUGAGGCUGUGGCCCUGGCAGUCUGUUACUGGUGUAACCUGCAGAGAGCAAGACGUGCUGGGGAAGAGGAUGAACUGAUUCUCAGCAGUCAGCGUGGCUGCUCUGCUUGGAGCCUCCUGCACGGCUCUCCCUGCAGUACCACCACCCCAGAGAGCAGCUGCAGGGCUGGCUCCUGCCUGCACCCCGUGCUCAUCUCUUGUUUCAGUGGAGCUGCUGCCCUUCGUGCUCUGUGCAGCCGUGGCAGCAGACAAUUGCUAUUAAGUAGUUUUAUCCGCUGCCAGUCUCUUAUCUCCUUGUUACAAGGCUGUAGAAAAAUCUGCUUUUCGAACCAGCAGCAUUGCAUGGUCAUGGAGAAGAACAGAUUAAAUAACUCCUGUUUGAAUCUAAACGACAGGAUCAGAGAGAAAAGUGGUGUGUUCCGAGCAUCAGCCUCACGUCCCACCACGGUGAUGCAGGGAGCACUGAGGUUUGGUCUCAGGUAAGAAUCCCAGAUUCUGUUCAGGAUAAAAUAAGGGAGUAGGAGCUCCUGAUGCAGGAGGUUUGUCUUGCUGGAACAAGCACUGUACCUGGGCAAAAUGUGUGGAGGACUUUGCAUAGCCAGAUUAGUGCCUGGUCUGAGUCAUGGGCUCAGAAAAAGUGGUCUCAUGGCCUCUGCUGGCUUUCAGACCAGUGAUGGGUGAGAAAUGCUCACAUGGAUAAGUAAUGAGGACAGGGAACAUCCAAUUAAGCACUCAUCUCAGCCACCAGUAGGAGCUAUGUCUUUAUCACUCAUAGAAUGCUUCAUAAAGGCUCUCUCGAUGUUUUCCACUGAGUACAGCAAAACAGAACAGAUAGAUGCAUUCCGUUUCUGCUUUAGGUGUUUCUAACAUUAUUCAUCACUGCUGUAUCUAAAUACGAUCUUCCUUUGUUUUAUCACCGUUUGGAGUGCCAUUAUCAAAGUGAGAUUGAAAUAACUACAUAAUAAAAUCCCAGAUUAAGCUGAAACUAUGGUAAAUCUCUGCGAGCUGUAGAAAGGUAACAGCUAAGCUGCAUGGACUUGGCAUGUUGUCAAAUGACUGCGAUAAAACAUGCUGAUCCGCAUUAUAGUUUUAUGUCUGUCUCUGCAUAAUAACCGUAACUACAGUUCAGCUGCUGUUGGGCACUCAGGAAGAACUCCUCUGAAUUUAUAACUUGUUGCAUGUCCUUUGUUUGGCUUUUAUAAUCCCCGAACUGUGAGCAGGACGGGGGUUGCUCCUUAGGCACAGCAGCUGGGCUGGUGCAGGGAGAGAACUGCCUCCCAGAACUGAUGGUACUUGUGUAUUCCUUUGAUUCACCAUUUAUUCUUUCAGCUCAGAUCAGUGAUCCGGCACUUGGCUCUACUUAGGAUAUUGAUCAGUCCAGAAUCCCAUCUGCCGCUUCGCUGCAAGAUAGCGUAAAACCGGUGUGAAGCCUUGAAACAUUUCCGAGGUCUGGGUGCCUUGUGCUCUCCUUGCCAAUGAGGAUCUCAGGGAGCAGCGCUGAGAGGCAGCUGGGGGAGAAUUACCUGAGCAGCCUUUUAGAGGGAAAAUGAGAAAUGAUUUACAGCUGAAGCAGCAGAUGUGAAAAUUAGCUUUUGUGUGUUUGCCUCUGAGUGCCGACACUGAGCAGUAGGGUCAGGUUUAGCUGUGAGCUCUUAACCUGUGGUAAGAUGAUAUAUACUUUCAAGACAAAAAGAUGCAAUAGGAGUCAGCUGUACAUACGUAAGGCCCUCAGUGCUGCCCGGCACACUAGCUGCGCCGUACAGCACAGCUGUGGGCAGGGGACAGUGGGAACUGCCCGCUGUGUGUCCCCUGAGCUCCACAUGGAACCUGCUAUUGCCAAAAAGAGAGACUUUAAUGGCUCUGAGCAGGGCCAGGCAGGCAGGAAGAUCAGAAGGAGACUGCAGUGCUGCCUCAGAGGAGUUUUUCUCCACCCACACAGGAGUGGGAGUGUGCCAUAGGAAAAAGGGCUGCAGUCGCUUCAGAGGCAGAGCUUUGAAUCCCUCGAGCAAAGUUUUCCUUUGAAUUAGCCAAGCAAAGUUUCCUCCCUCUGCUCUGAGCCACUGCAGGCUGCUGACCCUGAUUCCCAGGGCUGGACACGAUGUGCUCUUGGGCUGCCUAAAAGCAUUGGCGUCUGUCGGGCGGAGCUGUCUGUCCUCCAUCUCAUGGGACAAAGCACAGCAGCCACAGGCUUCCCCAGCUCCCAGCAAAGCCUCCCUCUUCAUAUAUCCCUCCAGGCUCCAGCCCUUCCUAAUGGCUGUGUUUCCAGGAGACUUUGGAGUUUUGAACAUGUGAGAAAAGCCCUCUGUAGGGUUGGAUUACUUACAGAGUAUAAACGACGCUUGAAUGUUAAUGCACAUUUCAAAAUGAAUGUUACAGAGAGGAUGAUGAGGUUGCUAAGUGCAGCAGCGCUGCACUGAAGAUGAAUUCAGCCUGGGGUGUUUUCUUGCAAAUGUGUCACCAUCAAUCCCUGCAUAUUGCUCUGAAACACUCAAGCUUUUCUUGACACAUAAGCUGUGAGAACCCCAGAAGAGGCAGGGCGCAGGGAACAACAAGGUACGUCUAGACAUUGGAAAAGUAAACUGAUCCCUCAAAAAAAAAAAAUCACCCCGAGCGUUAGCAAGACACCAACACAUACAACAGCAGGCUGGAGCUGCAGAGCAUCCCUGGAAGAGGAGAAGAUCAAGCCUGGAAGCUGCUGUCAGGGAAACCAGCAGGACUGAAGUCUCCAAUGGCCUGGGACUAAUUCAGCCCCUGUCUGUAACAGGCGAGUGAUGUGGUGGAUGCACUGGCUGAGGAGGUGGAUUUGCCUGGCAGAAUGUGCAUUUUAAUUGCUCAUUUUCUUUCUUUUUUUUUUUUUUUUUGAAUGUGAUUUGAUUGCUAAUUAUGGUUUCUGCAUUUGUAAUUAGAAUGUAUAGCAGAUGGUGGAGGCUUUGGCUGAAGUGAUGCGGCCAUUAAAAUAAUUCAUGUUACCCCCUGACAGUUCGCUGGGAAAGGGGUGUUUCCAUGUGAAAAUACCCUGGGAGGUGCUCUACUGGAGACACGCUGUUUAAAAAGUGCUGGAAAAAGGUGGAAAUCAGCAGUGCCCCACUGAACUCAGCAUCCAGGCUACAGCACAGCACCUGGGAAUCUGUUCUCCAUGGAGAGACCCAUUUGUCCUUGUACAGAGACCUUUUCUUCCCCUCCAGAAGCACACGCCUGCCUUACAGGCUUCAAAUCUCACUGCAAGAUCAGAAGAAAACGGCCAAAGCCAUGGGUGGCAGAUAGCUUUGGGCAGAGCACAGGCGAAGCACAGUCUCAAACCAGUGUGUAUUAGUGAGCAAUACGUAUUUAACCUGUGGGA
ensembl:lncRNA